AAUAUUGGGCAAUGGGGGAAACCCUGACCCAGCAACGCCGCGUGGAGGAAGAAGGUCNNNGGAUCNUCAACUCCUGUCCUAAGNGAANAGCAGGAGACGGUAUCUUAGGAGGAAGCCCCGGCUAACUACGUGCCAGCAGCCGCGGUAAUACGUAGGGGGCAAGCGUUGUCCGGAAUGAUUGGGCGUAAAGGGCGCGUAGGCGGCAUCACAAGUCUGAAGUGAAAUCCCCUUUUUCAAGGAGGGGGCUGCUUUGGAAACUGUGGAGCUUGAGUGCAGGAGAGGUCAGUGGAAUUCCUAGUGUAGCGGUGAAAUGCGUAGAGAUUGGGAGGAACACCAGUGGCGAAGGCGACUGACUGGACUGUAACUGACGCUGAGGCGCGAAAGUGUGGGGAGCAAAC
rnacentral:rRNA from 1 species